UAUGUCUCUCUCCUCAGAUCUUUCUCUCACUCUCCAACAAUCGAAAUCCAAAACCCUACCAACACCACACUCAAUCGAAAUUCUUCAUUCUCUUCUCAUCGAUGGGGCAGAAGUCUCUGAUCUACACGUUCGUGUCGCGGGGAACAGUGAUUCUCGCGGAGUACACCGAAUUCAGCGGAAACUUCAACUCCAACGCCUUCCAGUGCCUUCAGAAGCUCCCUGCCACCAACAACAAGUUCACCUACAAUUGCGCACACACCUUCAAUUACCUCGUCGACAAUGGCUACAGUUGGGAGUGUGAUAAAGAGUCCAGAAAUAUCUGGUCUUGUCCCUACUCUACUUAAGGAACUUUGUCAUCCUAAUGAGCAUACAAAAUAUUCCUUUAAUAUUCUUCUUCAAGUAAGGUUAAUGACAAUUAACUUGUUGAUUUUGUUUAGUUUUAUACUUAGUUACUCUUUGUUUUUGCACAUACACCUUCAUAAUGAGGGGUCCCGUAUCACUGACACAUGGAUUCAAUGAAGUCUCUUGCUUUCUCUUCUCAACCAAUAUAAUAUAAUCUGCUUCUAGAAAUUAAUACUGCACUUUAAACAAUUUUGUCAAUGCAUAAAACAAUUGAGAUCCCAUCCUGGAUACCAAACAGGUCAUAAUAUUACUAGGCUAGAAGAGUAUGGAAAAAUCCUAUUUCCUUUUAUCUAUUGCUUUUCUUUUCAGGCUUUUAAUAAUGUUUUCAGUUGUGGUAUCACUUGCUAAACAAUGGGCAUUUGAAGAACCUUAUGUGGAGACAAUAACUAGUGAAAAUGUUUUGACAUGGCCACAUGUGGUUGGGAAGUCACUAUUGAUAAAGUCUUUGGUUAAGCAUUACACGAAGCAUAAUUUGCCCGAUGUGAGAGGUCUAAUUACCAUCAUAUCAGGGAAGCAAAGGCAGGUGCAGUUUGCAGUUUGUGGAAUGUCCAAAUGAUAUCAAUGGCAUGAUAGAUGCCGCGAAGUUUGACGAUUUAACACUUCUUCUUAUCGAUGGAAGUUAUGGUUUCGAAAUGUUCCUAAGAGGUUCAGGCUUGCAAAGGACACAACAUUUGGACAAAGGCACUUGAAUAAGUGGAGUCAGUCAUCAAUUUCCUUAUGGAUGGUAAGGACAUAUUUAUUAGGAAAAAAAAUCUCUUAAUUAGCCUUUAGCUAAAUUCUGAAUUUUGAGAUUUUAGUUUGCAAGUGACACGUAAAUUAAUUUCAAAGUUCCUCAUGCUUUUGUACUCUGCUCGAAUCAGGUUAGCUUCUUCAACAAUUCUCUGGAUCUAUUAAAGAAAGUUAAAUAAUAAAAGUUUCCUUUUAAUUUGUUCACUGAUAUAUUAAGCGAAAGCCUGGUUAUUGAUUGUGAUGAAUAGAGUAGAAGGAGGAUAAUAUAAGUUCUUUUAUGAAUAUUGUUUGAAUUUGGAAGUUUUUCCCCCUUGAAUUGAAGCACCAUGUUACUCCCUAAAUUUUUAUGUCAAGAAAAAAAUUGGCCAAAUUAAACCUUGAGCAUACUGAAAUAUAAACUUGAUUUGGGGUUUUUAUCAAAAAGUUCAUGUUCUAAAAGAUUCUAAAAGACAUGUUAAGAUAAGAUUCUAAAAGAAUGUUCUAUAGAGAGAUCUAUUGUAGAAGAUAAUCCUAAAGUAACUUAUAAAAUAUUUUAGAAUGAGUAAGUAAGUUUGUAUUUAUAAGGAAAAUUUUAAAGAAUUAUUUGUAGCCAUUGGAUUAAGUGAUAGUUGGCAAAAUUCUAACCAUUUGUUUAGGAAAAAUUAUUACUAUAAAUAAGGAUGAUAUAUUAGAGUUUAUAUAAAGUCAAAAUCAAGCCAAAAAUCAAAAAGUGAUCAUUUGUAAAGUAAUCUCUUCCUUCAAAACUUUCUAAUCUCUUUCAUUCCAACAUAACGAUAUUUUGGACUGCCAAUCAGUCCUCUUUCAUAUGAUGAAAUGAGAAUAUUCCAAUUAAAGAAAAUAGUAUUAAAAAGAGAUAAAGUAAACCUUCAUAUUGUAGGGACCUCUUAACUCUAAGUCACAUGCAAACCCAAUUAAUAAGACCAAGCAUGAUACAUAAGUAUCACUUUUUAAACACUUAAUCAAAUACUCAUAAUUUUUUUAUUAUUAUUAUAUCACAUCAUAAUAUCUAUAAUAUAUUUUAUUCUCGUUUAUCUAUUACUAUGUGUAUAAUGACUCAUUGGAUGUUGGAUGCCCAUCCAUACUUUUCCAAUAAGACCCUCCUCCGAAAGCACAAACAUUCUUCUUCUUCUUCUUCUUCUGUUGGACAACAGAAAUGGAUAGUCAACCAUCCGGUUCUGCUGCAGAUGUUGUAGAUGUUAAUGAGUCUGGAAGUAGCAAGUUAGGUGGAUCCGAGCCUGAGGGUGCUGUUCUUUGCUUGCAGGAUCGAUUAAAGUGGCUCGAUCAGCAGGUCAUCAGAAAGGUUGUAUAAUUUCCGUCUGCAUGAUAAUUGAAGUAUUCAUGGGAAAAAAUUUGUUUAUACUUUUCUUCUUUCUAUUAUGAUUUCGUUUUUAAAUUCUUCCAUUCUACUAUCAUUUCUAUUAGCUAUGUAGAUGUCAAGAUUAAAUGGGCUUUGUAAUCACAUUCUUUUGCACUUUCAAGGCUUUCCACUCCUACAGGGACAAGUUUUAGUUACUCUUCUGAUGCUAGUGACAUUCGUCAAACAAAUCCUUAAUGGCCAUGAUGGAGAUAUGUGUAAGGUGUCUCUCUGGUGACCCAACUGAAAAGCCUUAUGUGGAACAUAUUCUCUGGAAUUUGCAGUUUGCAGCCCAAGUUCAGAAUUCAUGGAGAAGAGACUCAAGUGAUCACUGUUACUCACAUGCACCAUCUUCCAGGGAGACAUAAUUAAUAUUUGUAUGAAAUUUCCAGCAACUAAUAGGGCCAUCAGUCAUCUCCAAGUAGUCAAGACAGACCACCCUAUGAGAGGAUUGUUGGACCUUGUGGCCUCAAUAAUCUUAAGAGGGAUAUGCUUAGAAUGCAGAAGAAGCAACAACAAUCAAUUUAAUAAUGUUCUAUA